UUGCCUCGGCGGGAUCUCUGCCCCGGGUGCGUCGCAGCCCCGGACCAAGGCGCCCGCCGGAGGACCAACCAAAACUCUUAUUGUAUACCCCCUCGCGGGUUUUUUUAUAAUCUGAGCCUUCUCGGCGCCUCUCGUAGGCGUUUCGAAAAUGAAUCAAAACUUUCAACAACGGAUCUCUUGGUUCUGGCAUCGAUGAAGAACGCAGCGAAAUGCGAUAAGUAAUGUGAAUUGCAGAAUUCAGUGAAUCAUCGAAUCUUUGAACGCACAUUGCGCCCGCCAGUAUUCUGGCGGGCAUGCCUGUCCGAGCGUCAUUUCAACCCUCGAACCCCUCCGGGGGGUCGGCGUUGGGGAUCGGCCCUCCCUUAGCGGGUGGCCGUCUCCGAAAUACAGUGGCGGCCUCGCCGCAGCCUCUCCUGCGCAGUAGUUUGCACACUCGCAUCGGGAGCGCGGCGCGUCCACAGCCGUUAAACACCCAACUUCUGAAAUGUUGACCUCGGAUCAGGUAGGAAUA
rnacentral:rRNA from 1 species